rnacentral:rRNA from 1 species
UACGAAGGGGGCUAGCGUUGUUCGGAAUUACUGGGCGUAAAGCGCGCGCAGGCGGUCUUCCAAGUCAGUGGUGAAAGCCCGGAGCUCAACUCCGGAACUGCCAUUGAAACUGUGAGACUUGAGGAUGAGAGAGGUGAGUGGAAUUCCCAGUGUAGAGGUGAAAUUCGUAGAUAUUGGGAAGAACACCGGUGGCGAAGGCGGCUCACUGGCCCGAUACUGACGCUGAGGCACGAAAGCGUGGGGAGCAAACAGG